CAUGCACUUUUUUCAGGUUUUUACUUUUUAUCUUCAAUUGUGCAGUGUAAAGUAAAUGGAUCAUUUUAUGGCAGAGUUUACUUUUCCGGAAACUUUUUAUGGUAUAAAGUGACAUAAAAUGUGUUGUGAUUGAAUAUGGCUUGAAAAUUUUGCUAUAUAAGGGUGUGAUUCUGUGUUUUCUGAGGCCAAGCUCAUCACUAGCAGCAUCAUGCAGUUCUGACUAUUGUUUAGUUUUUUAGAUGACAACUACCCUUAUUUUUGGGAAAUUUUGUAACUCCCUCUUUGAAUGGAAGAUGAAUCAUUUGGUCUGCAUCUCUUCUUUGUAGGCGUGUAUUGUCUGUCUGUGGAACUCAUGUUAGUGCCAUCUCUGGUAUGGUGUUAAAUCAAUACAUGCUGAAUGAUAUGCUGCACUGUUUCUGGUUCAACUUUGGCUUGUACCUUGGGAUUGAAUGUGCUGCAUGGUUUCCACUUUUACAUACCAUGUGCGUGGGAUUUAUUAUUGAUUGGAGGGGAAUUUUUCUACUAGGUGGUUCAUGACAGAAGGCUUCUUAAUGCUGGACAGGAUUGGGAUAUGGAGACGUUGCACUCCAAGUACUCGACCAAAGUACUAACCAAAGGUAUUUUAGAGUUUGUGUUAUGACUGACCAAAGUUCUGGAAUUGGAUGAAAGCUAAGUGCAAGAAUUUCAGUGCGUCCUUGUGUGAUUGGAUUUCAAAUCCAAGGAGUUGUUUGGACAACCUCUGAAUUCCUCCUUGAUUGAGCUCCUAUGCUGCACUGGAUGUCCCUGGUCUGGAAACUGAAAAAUCAGAUUUGUUUCAGGCUACUGUUAUCACUCUUUUUGAAAGUAUGUGUGUUUUUAUGGGGCAGUACCCUUGCUCUUCAGAUUUCUCAACCUAUCAAGGCUGCAAUGAUCUUUGUGCUUUGUGCAGUAGUAUGUGUUGUCAAGUGGCCUAUGAUGAAUAAAAGUAACUGUUGGAAAUAUAUUGCGGUUGUAUUCCUGUCUUGUACAUAUAUAAACAUGCAUUGAAGUUUGCUGUGACUGUUACCAUGUUCCAUAAGGUAAAAUCUAUAAUGUAAUUUUGAUUUUGGACUUCCAAUAUAUAAAUGUCACAAUUUCUGAUAA